rnacentral:lncRNA from 1 species
CGACAUUUCUUAUAGGAAAUGGAACUCUUCAUAAGUCUGGCCAUGGAGGCAUGGUAUCCGUAACAUCCCCCAAAGGAGCUAAAGAAGAAAUCCACAAUUUACCAUGAGCAUUUCUCGUCUGAAGAUUGCCAAGCGAUUCCUCCAGGACAUUCCUCAAGAUCAAUUUCUGUUCAUCCACCUUGUCCUGGGAGGGACAUCAAUGGGUUUCCAUGUCCUUUGGCUUCUGGUUGAGUUCACUCAGUGGAGAACCCUGGCAAGAGGCAGGAAAAGGGGAGGAAGGUGAAAACCAUCCAUUUCUUGGAGAAGUGCCACGGUGGGGUUGCAAGUCCCAGGAUCAAGUUUUCGAUGUGUCUCUUUUUCCCGUAAAGUGGCUGAAAUCUGAAGCUGAAUCUGCAAGUGUCAUGGAGUCAUUGAAUCUCACAGUCUCAACUGAUAAAAGUUAUUAAAGGUCGUCUGGUUCAGCCUUCU